AUCCAGCUGACGAGUCUCAACUAGGGUGGAACGCGUGUCCUGGAU
rfam:Schistosoma mansoni strain Puerto Rico chromosome 1, complete genome